UCCCUCCACACAGACACAGGCUCACUGCCUCACCAACACAAACAGCACUGACCUGCUUACCACACCAGGCAGAAGGAGACACACUGUCUUGGCACAUCUUUCAGGGUGCCUUGAGAGGAUUUUGAGGCACCGAACUAACACACGAUUGCGAGCUUUUGGGGACAGUAAUGUGACUUUCUAUGGACUUGCACAAAUCCCAGCAUGUGGUGGCACCACUUGGACACAACAACAAGGAGUACAGUUUCCAAAAUCCCAAUCUGUUCCCUACUAGAUGGGAAUCCUAUUUGAAAGCACUGCCAAAGGAUGCUAUGCAGCACCACAGAAAAAGGAGCAUGUUUCCAGAGUACAAUGCCUUCAGCGGUCUGUAGGAAAUGGCUGAAAAGAAAAUUCAGGCACUACAUAACAGAGUACGAAAUUUGGCAGGGGAAAAAUGGUUAGGUAUAUUGUCAUACCAAUGUUGAAAGAAUGUACUAGAGAAUACUCAACUUGGUUGAGGUGAAGAAUUUCGGGUUAAAGAAAAGAGCAAGUUAUAAAAUAUGUUUCUGUUUAUUUGGAAACCUUCAUUUUUUUAAUGUAAACAUCUCCAUUGUAUUUUGUGAAUACAAACAGAACCAUGCAAGGACAUGAGAAGCAGGAGGUGAAACUCAUUAUAAAAGGCAAGUCAGUCUGUUUUAUUUGUCCAAACUAAGUAAAAUGCUGGGAAAAAAAAGUGAAAAAACAAGCAUGAAUAAUGAAAAAUAAAUUAAAUAAUAAUACAUUAUUAAACUGGUAAAAAUUUGUAUUACAAGCAAGGAUUACAAAUAUGUAUUUUCAGUAGUGCCCAUUUAAUGUCUUUCUAAAGCAAAAUUAAAGCCUGGAUUUGGAACCAGGAUAUUUAUCAGUUGUUUCAUUCUCUUCUAUAUACUCUGCCCCUUUCCAUGAACAGUAUAUCUUCUUCCACAAUCAAUAUAAAGCUAUCGCAAACUUACAAAACCCCCAUCAGUAUAUGCACUGGGCAACACAUGACCACACUUAUGGGCUCUUAAAAAAAUAAAUAAGGAUAGUCUCAAAAAACAGAAGGAAUGUCUGUUUCUCUCAUUUAGUUCACAAAGCUUUGCAAAGACGACAAAAAAUGUUGACCCUUAUGGAAAGUUAGCACUGUGUGCAAAAUUAAGAAGUAAAUAAAAAUACUAAUUUCUACCCUAUUCAUUCUGCAACAACGUUCAGCUCUUAUCUUGGCUACGCAUUUUACCGCGUGACUUCAAUUGUGGGUUUUUUAAAAAUAUUGUUAAAAAUCGCUUUUAAGAGGGGAGGUUAAUCAUUGUUGAGUCAUCUUGUAUACAAUUUUCCACGCGUUUUUAAAAGAGCUUUUCAAAAUGUACUCCUAGAAGAUAAUCAUUCCAAGGUGUAAACCAUAACAUAUCUCUUUGGCCUGUUCUUUCUAAAGCAUAGCCUGUUUUGCUUCUUGUUACUUCACAUAUUCAGAAACUUUUUAUUGCCCUGGCUCAGAAUCAAGCCAGUACAAUUCAUUUCUGACAGAAAAAGCAUUUCAGAGUCACUAGUAAACUGGCAGCCUGCAUUAUUCAGGGUAUCAUUUUGCACUUUAAUUCAGAAAAUUAGCUAAGUACAUCUGGUCCCAGAAAUAAGUGUGUUUGUGACAAGGUAAUAUUUUUUUCCUCACACACUUUCCAACCAGAACAUUUUUUCUUGAUGUGCAAUUUUGCUGCAUAUCAUUUAGAUGAGAUGUUAUUCCAAAAGAAACAGGAGGCACAAUAAAGGAGCCAGAGUGGACAAAUGAGUUUGGGGAAAGCUAAUAGGGGAUAUGGACAACAAAUGACAUUUGGGAGUAUUCCCUCUUGCCCAUCAAAAGACCAAUCACACAUUCAUGGCUGGAAUUUAGAAAGAUCCCUAUGUAAGUAGCUAUAUCUUAUCAGCAAUCACUUUUUCUGCCUUUCCACAUUGGAACAGGAUAGAAUUAUUUAUACAAGGAAUUUCAAAUAACUGUGGCUUUCACGGCUUUUUUCCUUUAGCCAAAAAUGUAUCCUAUCGUUUUGGAACAAUGAAGUAUUCUAAAAAUCUAACAAAACAGCAACAAAGCUUUCCUGAAUUUGUUUAAGUAACAUUUAAAUAAAAUGGGGGUAAAUGAAGUCCAAUUACUGAACAAGUAGGUGCCCUGAAACACUGCAAAAAGGAUUAGCAAUUCCAAUUUAUUAUUUCUGUCUCAAAUAAUUUAAAAUGACUAAUAGGUAGGGUCAACAAAAUGAAUA